UGGAGAGCGGCAGGCGGUCCUCGAGCCGGGACACCGCUGGGGUCGGCCCGCAGGCGCAGCCCCUCCAGCUCCAGCUGGUAAAACCUGGAGUGAAUGAAACUGUUUGCAAGCUCUAAUCAUAUCACUCACUGGGCAUGCCCAGUGGGCAUUGCUGGCUUUGGUGACAAAGGAGUUAAGGCUAAGUGAACUUGCAGAAUUGGGAGUAGAGAAGUCUGAAGUGCGUGGCUUUAAAUUAUAGUUUGAGUCCUGUGAACAUUUAAAUUCCUAACCCUAUUGUAUUCCCAGCCUGGGUUAGUCUUAGAACAGAAACAACAGACAUAUUUAUUCCAACACCACAAACCUAAUAGCUUCAGCCUCAAAUGCUAUAAGGAGCUAAUAGAUGUUAAUGCCUUUUUUUCUUCCUAAGAGUUUCAUCAAGAGGAAUCCAGGAAACUAAACAGUCAACUUUGCAAUGUUGUAAUGCCAUUCUUUCAUGGCAAAUACUAUAUGAAAUACCUUAAUGAAAUUAGGCUUUUGACAAGAGUUUUAUUUUUAUAUGCUCUUUGCUCUUGCUGGAGGAAAAACAACAAUAAAGUGGAAAUGAACGAAAUGAUCAUACUCAUGCACUUUCUCAUCGAACGAGAGGGCAGUCCACUGCUGUGCAGCGUAAGGUUCUCUGGAUCCAGCCGACUGCCAUGGCCAAGACAGUCCAGCAGGUGACCCACAGGAGUGAGAUGCAAUCAAGUGAAGAUGAAGUCAUACUGGAUUAGAGGGGCCUAAAUGCAAUGACAAGUGUCCUUUUACUGAGAGAGGAUUUGAAGACAGAGGAGAUACAGGAAGACAGCCCUGCAAAGACAAAAAACUAGGCUGAUGCAGGCAUAAGCCAUGGAAUACCAAAGAAUGCCGGCAGCCACUAGAAUCUCUGAGAGAGGCGUGGGACAGAUAUUGUCUUAGCAUCUGGAAAAAGGACCAACCCUGCUCGCAUUUUGAUUUCAGACAUCUUGCCUCCCAUAUGGCCUUCUGAAAAGUGUAACCUGAUGCUUUUCAUCAAUUUUGGAGAACUCUUGGACAAUAUGUGACUUUUGGACCCCACGGUUUCCAGGACAUCCAAGAGUGUGAACAGACAUUUGGAAGUUUUAGUUUCACCACCCACUGACCUCUAAGAAGAGGAGAUGGACCGGAGAUGAAGUUCAAUGGAAUGACUUGGUCAAUUAUGAAUAUGUAAUGAAACCUCUAUAAAAACCCAGGAAGAUAGCACUGCAGAUCUUUUAUUUUGGAGAGCUUUGUUGUUGGGAAACCAGAGCACUUCCACAUGCCAUGGCGUCCUGUCCCAAGCUCCACAAGAAUAAAAGCUCUUUGGCUUCAGAUAUCACCCCUGUAUCUCUUCAUUUGUCACUGGUAUAUAUUCUUUAAUAUCCUUUGUAAUAAAUUGAUAAUGUAGUGAGUAAGGAAAUUUUCCUGAGUUCUAGUGAUCCAUUCUAGCAAAUUUAUCGAACCCAAAAAGAGGGUCAUUAAAAUCUUCAAUCUGUUGCCAGUCAGUCAUAAACAUAGAGCCUGGGCUUGAAGCUGAUGUCG